rnacentral:misc_RNA from 1 species
GAUGAAGAACGCAGCAAAAUGCGAUAAGUAGUGUGAAUUGCAGAAUUCAGUGAAUCAUCGAAUCUUUGAACGCACAUUGCGCCCAUUAGUAUUCUAGUGGGCAUGUCUGUUCGAGCGUCAUUAAGUCCACUUAAGCCCUGCUUAGUGUUGGGAGACUGCUCCAGCGGUGCUACCCUGUAGCUACCCUGCAGCUCCUCAAAGACAGCGGCGGAGUUGUGGUAUCCUCUGAGCUUAGUAACUUGUUCUAGCUUUCGAGUACACCACUUCCCCUGCCGUAAAACCCUUAAUUUUUAAUGGUUGACCUCGGAUCAGGUAGGAAUACCCGCUGAACUUAAGCAUAUCAAUAAGCGGAGGA